rnacentral:lncRNA from 1 species
AACCUGGUCUGAAGCCUUUGGAAAGUAAGAACCUUGUGCUUUUGAAGUCCCUCCAGAAGGUAGCACUUCCCAGGUACCAGAGAAAUAUUUGUUAAUAAACCCACUGUUUGCAAAGAUCACAGUUGAUUUUCAAGGCAACAGAUUUCUAUGUCAUAGCUGCUCCUCCUCCCCCGUCCCCACUACCACGGCCUUAUAAUUUUGGAAAAUUCAUCCAAGGAGGACUCAUGCUAUGUUAUAUUAGAGGGAAACAUUCCACCCCUUUUGGGAAGGCAGAUAUAAAUUGCGCCAGAUUGCAGGCACCCUAAUUAGAGACACUGGUAAUGUGACUGCUGUUCUAAGACCCCCAAAUCCUCACUGAGGCCACCUCUGUCUUUGCACAUUAGAAUUUUUGCCACUCUACAUCAACGUGGCCAAACUGCCCUUCUGAUGGGGCUGCUGGUACCCACAGCCCAGACGUCAGGGUCAAGAGGCCUGCCCACCAAACCUGUCAUCACAAGGGAACUCGGCACCAGCCGUUCUCCGGAGAGCUGGGCAUGGAGCGCAGAUCACUGGCUCUACAUAGGAAAGGCUGAUAAAGCUGCUGCUACUUUUAUUGUUUCUCAUAAGUUGGCCUUUAUGCAAACCAUCAUGACCUACAUGUUUAAUUUAGAUCUUUAUUUUCUGUUUCAUAAACCCGUUUAAUUUAAUAUCACUGUAAAAAAUCCAAGUGGAUGCACAUGAUGUUCUGCUGGUACUAAUCUCUUUGGGCUCGACUCUCACAGCUAAUAUUGGGGUCAUCGCAAGAGCACAAGAGAGCAGGGGUAUAGGUGGAAGUGUCUGGGAUGUAAUUCUUGCCUUAGCAACCGAUACCCUCUCAUUGCUUCAUUGAAUCUUUCCUGUUCCUUGACCUCCACCCUUGUUUUCAGUAAUAGUGGUAUAAUGAGGUGAAUAAACGGCCCUGUCUACAAAGAAAUGCAAAAACGUCUGGCUUUGGCUAAAACUUCUUCAGGGGAUUGAAGGUGUGAGGGGUGGCCAGCAGGGUGAUCCUUGAGACCUAUCACACAGAGACACAUGUUCCCUGGUGGCUCUAGGAGGCCAGGGUCAACUUGGGGGUCUGGGAAUGAGCUCUGCCAGCCCAACCAGGGGACAAACUCCUUUCCAGAAUCUUCGAGUCCAUCCUUUGCUCCCCGUGGCCUACUCAGAGCCUCUGAAGUUGGGGAUGGUUAAUGGGCACGACACAAGCUCCACGUUCUCCGUGACACCCCCACCAUCCACCACUUUUCAAAUGCUACCUGAGUAGACUCUACAGAGGACUCUAAGGACAGUGACUGGAUAUGCUCUGCCCAAAACAGUCACCAGGGAACAAUGGUGGCUACUGAGCACUAGAGAUGUGGCCAGUCCAAACUGGGAUGUGCUGUUAAUUUCCCCUGUUUCUUUUCACUUUUCAAAAUGUGGCCAUGAGAAGAUUCAAUGUGACAAAUGUGGCUCUCAUUCGAGUUCUCCUGGACAGCAGCACUCAGACAAUUAUUGUCAGAGAGGUUGUUUCCAUUUGAGAGUAUGGAUCAGUCCAGUGAAAAACACAAGUCUCAGCUCCCCGUCACACCGAGAAUGACACCCCUGCUCCUAUCCGUGAGGGAGAUGAUGCUGAGGCACCUGCACCCUAAUUACCUCUUUAGCAUCCCUCUGCAUGCCCACUUCAGUCACGCUGGCAUCUUUCUCAGGAUCUCCAGGCUUGCCCCAGGCUCAAGGGCUUUGCAGCCAGUUCUCGCUAUCUGGGCUCCUUUUCCCCCAUAUGUUUUUGUCAUCUGGGUCUCACCCCAAAUCUCACCUCCUCAGAGAGGCCUUCCUCUCCUUCCUGUGGUGGGCAAGAUAAUGACCCCCCCCCCAAAGAGGUCCAUGUCUUACUCCCUGGGACCUGUUGUUAUGCUGCCUUCUGUGGCAAAAGAGAAUGUCCAGAUCCAAUGAAGUUAAGGAUUCUGAGAGGAGAAUAUUAUUCCAGACUAUCUGAGCAGAUCCAAGGUCAUCACAGGGGUCCUUGUGAGGGAAAGAGGGAGGCAAGAGAGUCAGAGUCGGAGAAGGAAGUGUGACGACACAAGCAGAGGUCGGAGGGAUGCAGCGCCCAGAGCCAAGGAACUCAGGCAGCCUGCGGACGAUGGAAAAAGCCAGAAAUGGAUUCUUCCCUAGAACCUCCAGAAGGAACGCAGCCCUGCCAACCCACUUUAGACUUCUGACCUCCAGAAUUAUAAGGCAAUCUAUUUCAAUUGUUUUAAGCCAAAAAAAUUGUGGUGAUUUGUUACUGGAGCAAUAAGAAACUAAAAUACACCCUUCUCUUGGACGAUGCACCACCCAGCCACCAGCUCCCCUGUUCCAUCCUUCUAGGUUACCCUUCCUGUAUCAUUUACUGCUCUCAGACAGGAUCUAUUAUUGGUUUACCUGUCUAUUUUCUGUCUCUUUGGACUAGAAGGCGAGCUCCCUGUGGGCAGAGUUCUCCUCUAUUUACUGCUAGGCACUCUGCCUUAUGAUCUAGCACCUGACACAUUGUCAAUGCUCCCUGGUAUGAACAAAUGGUUGAUGAACGAAUGAAUGGCAAUUUGCUACAGGAAAAUUAGAUAACAUCGGAAACAUUUUAGAGGAAAAUUAUACCCAAGUAGAUAAAAUGAAGACCAGUGAUAGAUGCUGGGGAGUGUUACUAUUUAUAGUGUACCAUGAUGGUGCUGAAGAGGCAUAAUGAAUUCUAUGGUGCUAUCCCUCCCACAGUCUCUGGAGACAGACAUGCACAGCACACAUGAUGAACCAGUGACCAGAGCGGGUAGUGAGUGUAUGGUUGGGGUGCAAUGAUUGGUGGGGUAGUAGGUCUGCACAGUGGUGAACUGGCAAACCAACUCUCAAAACAACAAUAAUGACAACAACAAAGCCCUGAUCUGUAAUGCCGGCCAAUUUCUGUGGUGUAAAUACUCCUACAAUGACUGAUUUCAAGCUACCACUGUAAUGACUCUAAAGAUGGUAUCGGAAAGAGCUAAUUUACCGGCAAGGCCUUGGAAGUGGGAUUUCGACUGGAUGUAAAAAUGUUGGUGGGCUAAGGGUGGCCUCAGGAGGGGGCAGGAGGCCUGUUGCUCACAAAGGCAAGAAUCUCUUCAAGGCUCACAAAGCAGGGUCUCAACAGUCCUUGUGGCUCCAGUGGGUUUCCUGUCAUUGAGAUCAACAGACAAAAAACAACUAACAGAAAUCACCCAGAAAAGGGCUGCCCGGAGAGAUGCAGGAGAAGAGGAUCUUAUAGCCAGGAAGACUUUUAUGAUAUUCCAGCUCGUUACUAAUUUAAUGAGAGUAGGCUGGAGCAAAGAGCUCAGGUUCCCAAUUCCCAUGGAAGAGCAGUGAAGAGUCCAGGUUCACUGAGCUGGUUAUAGGACAUCCAGACCUAGGUCAGGCUGAGGCCCUCACUCAUUCUGCCUCCCAGACCUUUGGUCAAUUGAGACAACAUGCAGCUCCCCGAAGUCCCUGCCUAAAAAUGAGAUGUCAAGUGAACUUGGGACACCCACCCAAAGUUCUCAAAGUAACCUUCCCUAAAAUCUCUAUCUUCAUUUAAGCAUCAUCCCCUGACAUUCGGAAGGCUGGGAAAUUUGAUUCUGAGAAUCCUGGGGUGGUGUUGAAGAGGCUGGUGCAGAGGGUCAGAUGGUACCUGGAUUUGAAUCGUGACUCACUUCCCAGGUGAGUGUCACUGGGGGGAGCAAGUUGACCUCUCUAGACUUUAGGUUCCCCAUUUGGAAAAGAGGAAGAAUAAUCAUUUCUUUCCAUUUUGUGUAUGUCACAUGAUGCAGAAGAUACACCCAGCACCGGGCCUGGGGCAUACUAAGUGUCGGAUCAGUAUGCAUGGUCGGGGGAUUAAGGUAAAAAUUAUGUGUUUUUCCUUCUCCAGAUCCUGCCAGACAAAACUGAAUUUCCUAAACAAGCCCCUCCCACCAUCCAGAGCCAUCUGGCCACUGCCUUCACUCUGAGAAGGAGGCCCCCUCCUCUCACCACCUCUAGACCCUGGGUCUGAUGGUCCUCUUAGGCCCACACCUUCUGUGAUGAUCACUUUAAGAGCACACAUUUGCUGUGUGCAGGGUGAGAUGUUUUCCUUGCUUGGGGUGCGUUUCAACGAAGGACAAGGAUGAGGCUAUUAUGUGAACAGAGGGACAACAAGGAAAACAAGACUGCUUUCUGAAAAGCAUGAAAAAGCUUUCUUUUGCCUGAAUGGCCAUUAUUUUCAUUCUUUCUCCCCCACACAAAGCCCCCGAGCACACUUCAUUCAGGCUGUUGCAGCGCCAGUGGGUGUGAAGAUGAGGUCCAAACAAAAGAAGUAACGUAUUGCUGUUGUCGGGUCUCUUGUUAAGUGCUUGGUGAGGUGGACCAAGUGUCCCCACCAGCCCCGCUGCUGGAAUUAUCAGGAACAAGAGGGCACACACACACCAUAUAAAUACAAAACCCCUACAUAAUCCUUCACAUGGUUACAUGACGAUUUAUGAGUGAGAGCUGGAUUUCAAGUUGGCAGACCACAAAAGCCCAGUGUUCCCCUAGAUGUUGGCACCUUGUCCUUCCCCUUGACAAUUUUGAGCGUCAAUUGUGCCACCUGGAAAAUGCCAUUCCUCUUGUGGUCCCCCCACCCCCCAAGGAAGAAGGCAGGAUUGCUCUAUUCCAGAUGUGCUGUGGACCCAGGGCACCCAUGUGAGAAAUGUGCCUGGAGAAGGGGGGAAAGUUCCAGGAGCCUGGGCACUGGGAUGUUCCAGGCCUUGGCUGUCCAAAUCACGCAGCUUAAAGUAAGAGAAAACCACUGUCUCCUAGUCCUGAGUUUUCUGCAAAUAAAAAAGCAAUGUCAAAGGGGGGAGGAAAUAAACCUUGGCAUUCUGCAAGUUUUCCUUUAUUAAGGAUAAUUUAGUGGCUUCGGUUGAUGGCUCUGUCUCUCUCUCUCUCCCUGUCUCUGUGGCAUGGUGUGCGUGUGCGUGUGCGUGUGUGUGUGUGUGUGUGUGUGUGAGAGAGAGAGAGAGAGAGAGAGAGAUUUUUCUUCACCAUAACAGUUUUCCUCUCUCCAACUUUCAUCAAAAAACUCAGUGUGCCAACCAGACAGAAGUUCUGAGAACUUUUCUUCUGGAUCAGUGGAUGAUUCUGAAGAAGGGGGAAGUGUUUCUUGAUAAUGUCUCAGUUCUUCGAGGGCCAGGCCUCUGCCACAUUUCCCACGAGGCCUCCCUAGUAUGUGCCAACCCUUUAAGUAUCAGCGGAGCUUUUGAAGAGCAACAUUACGAUGGCAUUUUUCUGAUUGCACAAUCCCUGUAGAGCCCUGUCAGAGGGACCCCUGCCCCAGCCACACCAAUACUAGAACCUCAGUGGAGGGCCUGUCCCAAUGUGAUUCAGCCAGAAGAAUAUCAUGUUUAAGAACGCUAUCCUAGGAGUUCUUGUCGUGGCUCAGUGGUUAACGAAACUGACUAGUAUCCACAGGGAUGCAGGUUCAAUCCCUGGCCUCGCUCAGUGAGUUAAGGAUCCAGUGUUGCCAUGAGCUGUGGUAUAGUUGCAGAUACGGCUGGGAUCUGGUGUUGCUGUGGCUGUGGCAAAGGCUUGCAGCUACAGCUCCAAUUUGACCCCUAGCCUGGGAAGCUCCAAAUGCCAGGGGUACAGCCCUAAAAAGACAAAAGAUAAAACACAACAACAAAAAAGCCAUCCUGGGUGCUCUUACACAAUGCCUACCCCACACCUGGCACUGUGGAGUAUGUAAUACAAAGGCAACAUAACCCAUGUUUGGGAGUCUCCUGGAGCCUAUCAUUGUAUGUGCUUUGAGCCUCCCCUACCCAUAUCCCCACCCCACCCCAGCCCCAUGUCCAGUGGUCAGCAUCUUGCCUUGGCACACGGGGAGCAGCCCAGCAGCAUGGCACCCCUGCUUACUAGCAGUGUGUGACCCUCUGACAAGUUUAUGACAUGCACACUGUGUCUAAGUUCCACUUUCUCAUUUAUAAGAUGUGGAUGGCAACACCUUCCCAGGAUUCAGGGAAGCCAUGCAUAAAGCACCUAACACAGGGCCAGCCCACAGUAGGUGCUUAGGAAAUUCUGGUGGUCAGCCUCUCUCUGAUAAGCUGUAAACAAACCAAAAAAACCUGUCUCC